ACCAUCCUUACUCCUUCACGCCGCAACACCCAAGUAGCCACAACGCAAGCCACUGCAACGAAGCCAUGAACGAGCCCUCCACGUAAAUCCCUCUGCCCUGUCUCACGGAUCAACUGCUGCCGCAGCGGCCUUCCACGCCAAUCACCACCUGUUGUCGUUGUAUAGAAACCACCCCUCCUCACCCACUGUUAAACUGCCUUUGAGGGCCACCGUACCUCACAGCCUUUAACGCCCUACGUAGAGUUCUACAACCCGUGUUCAGCGAUUUUAGCCACCACAAGUCGCUGCCAUGGAAGCCCCUGUUUUAGCCUCCUAAAACAGAGCAACGUCAGCCUUGUUAUCAAACCCUUUUCGGUGCCGCCAGUCACGUUAAGGAGAUACAGCGGCGUCGAUCAGUGGAGCCUCAGAAAGCGCAGGUCGUGCCACCCCAGGUCCGCCGUGACCACCUCCCGCCGCCCAGCUCGCCGACGUAUCCACUGUCCACUUCCCAGCUCUUCGCGCAACUCCUUCUCGCACGAUAAUUUUAAUAGUUCAGCUGGAGAAUAAGAGUAAGAAGUUUUAGCAAGGUGUGAUGAUCGUAGUGGAAUAAGUGCCCGAAGGUACAAGUGCUUAUCUAAGAGUCGUAUUUAGUAAAUUGAUUUAUUUUCUAAUAUUUUGAUUUGAUGAGUUAAGAAUAUUUUCAAGUCUUUAGGAGUUUUAAUUUAUGUUAUUAAGAAUUUUUUUGUUGUCCCUAUGAAGGAACAUAAAUAUUUAGAUUGAGUGAAUAAAUUAAGAUUUUAUAAAGUUUUCUAGAUUUUAUAGUUGUAAUAUUGAAGUUGAUAGUAAGUAAUAAGAACUAACUCUCCGGACCUCCAGAAACGGGACGUUACAAUGACGACCCAAUCCUAUAUUAUUAGGGAUAAAUUAAGAAUAAUUUCAUUGAGCCUAAAUUAGAUUAAUGGGCUAAUAAUUAUAGAAGCCGAAUCGAGAUUUAUAGAAUUAUUUUAGAUAGGCCAUGGCCCAUAAAUUAUUCAAACAAAGUAUGAAAUUUUCAUGGGAAUCAAUAAAUGAGUUAAAAAGCCCAUUUAAUAGACCAAAUGGACCUUAAUUAAUUAGUAAUAGCUCAGGAACUUUUCUAAAAGCCCAUAAAAAAAGUUUUAUUGGAUGAGUUAGGUUUAUAUCGGACCUUGAGAAUUUAGGCUCAGUUUAUUAUAAACUCCAAGCCCGUGAAAGUGUUCAACUCCAAACACAGUUACCAUUCUGCAUUCCUCCUCACAAUACAAUUCCUAACCGAUUGCUUUCUAUAAACUCCAACCAUCCACGUCUCAAAUUCCACUACAAUUCACUCAAUAGAGCACUCCCAACGGGAUUACAAUUCCACAUUCAGCUCCACGUUAAAAGUCUUAAACCUAACAAUAUAAAGUCCUCUGCUGUAUGUGAGAAUCACUAGGAAGCUUGAAGUAGCCGCACCUCACAUUCCUCACGUUACAGCCACAACCAAUCACAAGCACGCUGGAAACCACCCACAUCCCUUCCUCCCUCACAGCUCACGGCCUCCACACCGUGGUUGUCACCACAUCCCCUUAAACCAACACACGCCCAAGCCCCAAGUCCUCCACCGUGAGCCUCUUCAUCCACGCCGCAACCCACGUAGAUUAGCCACUUACAAACUGCCCACAUCCGGUGUUACUCAGCCACCGUGAAGACUGUGACCCAACUGAGUGCACCAUAAAGAACUGUUUUAGCCACCUCCUCCACACACAACCAGCGCCCACCGUAGCUCAUCCUCGAAGCCACACUGUGAAUUCUGACCACCAGGUUGCCUAGCUAGAGGAGACACUACGCCGCUGCACCUUGGAGAGCCAACAAGCCACCUGCGCAAGCCUCUGUUUUCACACCCAAAAACAGAGAAAAACACGUCCAGCAGCUGCUCCAUGCUCCCUUCCUCAGCCGCAGAUAACGACAACCAGACAUGCCUUCCCGUUGAGCACCACUGCUCUAUCGUACCCCUCCGCCUCUCACCACGGUUGCACUGCCUUAGAAAAACCACCUCACUCGGCAAGGUCCCUCUUUAUCUACACGGGCCACUUUCUUUCACUACCCUCUUUCUUGACGUCAAACUCUCUCUCUCUCUCUCUCUCUCUCUCUCUCUCUCUCUCUCUCUCUCUCCAUUUAAUCAGCACCAAACUAUCCAAUCUGUUAGACCACGACAUUCUGUGAGGAUGCACGUGAGCUACGUGGAAGUUUGGAACGUACGUAACAAAACAAGUUGAACGUGAAAAGCUUGUCGCAUGCGACAUGCAUGCAGAGAAGAGCUUGCGGGCACGUGAAGAAUGAGAAGGCUGCGCUAGGGUGGACUGGGUCAUUGGCAGUUAGAGUGAGGUUUUCUGCAUAUUUAGUUCGUUAAUUCGUGUACUCUAUUUUUCUGCAUGUUUAGUUCAUCUGCUCUGUUUUCUGUUUUCUGUUUUUACGUGUGUUAGCGUCCAGUUGUUGGUUUCUAGUUUUCCUUUUGUUUCGGUUUGCUAGUUUGUACGUGGCUUUGCUUAUCUAAGCAGCCCAUGCCUCAGUUAAUGAGAUUAUGAAGUAUUUUGCAUUCAAA